AUUGAUCUUUGUAGCCAAGAUCUCAAAACAAUUACAUUAAUCGUCCUUGUUUUUUCCUUUUAAAAUGUUUGUCUUGCUUUAUCUCUGUCAGUAUGCACAUAGUUUACUAGGGCAUACAUAUUCCCAUUGCAAUGCCUUACUCAUGAAUAAGUAUCUUUUUCUUUUGGAGAGCCUUUCUCUGUUUGUUAUUUAGGUUGAUAUAAAUGGUGUCAGAAAACGGGACCUGAAGAAAGCUCGCUCUCAGAAGAAUCGGCGGUUCUUGACUUCGGCGUGCAGUCCUCACUUGAGCCCUCUGAGAUCCCUGCCUCAGCAGCUGGCCUUUUCGGCCCUGGAGUCUUCUCUUAGGCUGAGCUUAUCUCUUUUUGUCAGAGCAUUUUUGAUAUUAUUUGGGAUCUGGUUUGGUUAUAAGGCUGCCUUAAAUGAAGGAUCUUACAUCUCUUCUGGGAUGAUAAACGACUAUAUGUCUUUUCUGGUGCUGCCUCCGCAACCCAGGAUCCUACCAGCUGCAGAAGUCGCGAGUAAUGCCAGCCGGGCUCCGAAGACUCCCUCAGCCCCCGGGGCCAGUGGACAGUGCCCACAUCCUCUGUGGCCCUCUCGCAGCUGUAGAAGACAGGCACAGGUCUUCCGUUGUGUGCAGCUGGAAAAAGGUCUCGUUUGUAAUGAGCAGUGGAGUGUGACAGCCUCUGACUGUUUCUUUGACCAUAUAUAGGAAUGAUCACCGUGAUAAUAACAGCAGUGACAACAAUCCCCGGAUAUUGGGCUUUUCAUUUCCAAGAGAGAGAGGUGAGCAGGAGUGAGGAUAAAGACAUGGAGAGAUAAUGCAGACGACCACGUUCUCUUGGCCAUACUGAACUGAUGUCCGAGAGCAGGCCUUGGCAAACUUCCUCUGGGAAGGGCCACAGUAAAUAUUUUAGGCCUUCCAUUCCAUAUGGUCUCACUGCGCUUCAACUCUGCCAUUGUAAGCUUGAAAGCGGCCAUAGAUAAAAGUAAAUGAAUGAGUAUGGCUGAGUUCCAAUAAAACUUUAUUUAUGGACACUGAAAUUUGAAUUUCAUGCUGUUUUUCACAUGUCACAAAAUAGUCUUCUUUCAUUUUCUCCCAACCAUUUAAAUGUGUAAAAACCAUUUUUGUCUCGCAGGCUGGAUGUGGCCUAUGGGCCAUAGUUUGCCUGCCCUGCCCCAGAGAACAGAAUUAACCACCAGUAGCAUCAGAGGCUAACACUGUUCAAGGGUUUUGCCCUCUUUAGAGCUCAAACAGCAGGGAUAAUUUCCACCUUGAGAGACAUCUCUCCAGAGCUCUUCUGCAAAAACUGUUCUUAUUUUACAAACAUGAAAACAUUGAAAAUCAAAAUUAAAUGGAAAAAUUCAUCUCCAACAGCAUCUCUUCCCAAUCAGUCUUCAAAUUUCAUUUCAAUCUUUGUCCAUAUGCAUGACAUUUUUAUACCAUUUUAAUCCUAUUAUAGACACAGUGUUUUAGUUUGCUUUUUUUCACUUAACGUUAUCUUGUAAAAUUCUUCCCUGUUGUGACUGAUUUCUUCUAAUCAGACAUAUCAUAAUUUUUUGUGGAAUUUUUUUGUGGAAGAUUUCCAUGCUAUUUGUUGGACUUAAUUAAAAGGGAUGUCUUAGUGUCUUCUCAAGUGUAACAGUUAAGAUGCAAAUGCUACCACCUUGCCCUCAAGCCAGGAAACCUGGGAAAACCCACUUGGUAGACUGGAGCCUCACACACCUCCCCCAGGAUUCACUUCCUUUUGGACAAUGGCUUUAGCAAAUCUGGCAUUUUAAUUCAUUUGCCUCUUGAUGUGCCUUCCAGACAAACUCUUUAGAGCUCUUUGCUCUGAAAGAGCUCUCUGUUCCACAUACACCCUAGAAUUUAUGUUGAACUUGGAUGGAGGUUUGGGGAGACUAAUCACACAUCUCCUUUCAUUACAGUUUUUAACCAGGAAAUACAGAAAGAGUUAGAUGAGGAUCAGUUUUCUUGCUGGAUUAGAGAACUUGGUAGGUCCCCAUUAGUCCCUUGCCUCACACCUGCUGAGACCCUCUGGAUGGUGACUGACUCAUCCAGUCACAUGUGGAGAAAGAAGAGGUUGGGUUUGCCCCUUCACUGUUCCAUGGGCUGGGCCUCUGGAGAGGGAGAGGUGAGGGACAUACUUUAAGUUGGUUCCUUUCUUUCCUCUCCACAAAGGGGGGUGACACUGUUUGAGGGACCACAGGGCUCACCUUCCCUUCCUUUCUCUUUGCUUUCAGAAUAGGAAGCACAUGCAUUUGGCCAGGAAGAAGACUUCAGCUAUUGAUGGGAGGGCCCUCUUUCUAGAAGGCAGAGAACAAUGGACUAGCCAGACAGGAAGGAGAGAGGCCCAGAGCGCAGUAAGGAGUGGGCAUCUGGGACCCAGGGUUGGGAAGAACACUUCUGUUUGGCUUCCUUCCUCUUCUAGGGCAUGGCUAAGGUGGCCAACCUGCAUGCACCCCAGAAGAGGAAGAUAAGUAGGCCCAUGGGACUUUAUUAUGGAGCCUGAGGCUUUCACUGGCCUGAUUAAUCCAUUUUCUGGGAAUGAGCACUUUGGGAGGAUAACAAUCAAAGGAUCCCCAGAGGACACGUGACAGGCUGGGGCCAUCAGAACUACUGAUCCGUGGGUACUAUCCGGCUUACUGAAUUAUGAAACACAGGUUAAAUUAAGGGUUGUCACACAUUUGGCUAAUUGGCCAAUAAGAACAGCAAUUAAUAGAGGUCAGGCAAUUCAACUGCAUCUGUGGCCAUGACUAUCAGAGCCCUUGGAAACAGCAGUGAUUUCAAGUGAAAUCUAAAUCAGCAGUGUUUCAGGUGACCUAGAGCAGGGCCCACGGCCCAUAGCCCAUAUGUUAGCACUUCCUGAAGGUUUUCUUCCACCCAAAUCCACAUGUUGGGACCCAGGGGAAGGUGUAGCAAAGCCAGUGACCACUGUGUAAUCUUUGUUUUUUCUAUUUGACACUUUGUCAAAAAACACAUUCCUGUUUUCAUAGACUUCUUUUGAUUUUGAGAAAUUUAAAAGAUACAGAAAAGUAUGAAGAAUGUAAAGACACUAUAUUCCCACCACUAGACAUAAGAACUAGUAAUAUUUUGUACCAUCUCCUGCUAGCCUCUGCCCUCCUUCUAAGAAAUGAAACUACCACCCAUUUCUCAUUCCCCAUCCCCGGGCACAGCAAUGUUCAUGGGUUUGGUCGGUUUGUAUGUUUGGUAUCAUUUUAGAUACUUUGAUAUUCAUCUUAUAUCGAUAUAACAAAUAUACUACACUUUUAUGUGUAUAUGAAUAUUUAAAUAUAUAACAGAUAAAAACACAUGCCAUUUGUAAAUAUGCCAUGUAAAAACUGAUGGUGCUUAAUAAAUAUUUGUUGAAUGUCCAUCUAUAAACAAUGUAUUUGUGUGUUUUUAAUGUACAUGGUAUCAUACAAUUUUUAUCAUUCUGCAUAAUCCUCUCUUCACUUAAUAAUUGUAUUUGAAAUCUAUAAUUGUGACUCUUUCUCUCUAUAUAUGUAUAUAUAUACACACACAUAUAUAUGUAUAUAUAUACACACACAUAUAUGUGUAUAUAUAUACACACACAUAUAUGUAUAUAUAUACACACAUAUAUAUGUAUAUAUACACACACAUAUAUAUGUAUGUGUAUAUACACAUGUGUAUAUAUAUAUCUAU
ensembl:lncRNA novel transcript